rnacentral:rRNA from 1 species
CGCGUAGGUGGCCCGUUAAGUGGCUGGUGAAAUCCCGCGGCUCAACUGCGGGGCUGCCGGUCAUACUGGCGAGCUAGAGCACGGUAGGGGCAGAUGGAAUUCCCGGUGUAGCGGUGGAAUGCGUAGAGAUCGGGAAGAAUACCAGUGGCGAAGGCGUUCUGCUGGGCCGUUGCUGACACUGAGGCGCGCAGCGUGGGAGCAAACA